rnacentral:misc_RNA from 1 species
GAUGAAGAACGCAGCGAAAUGCGAUACUUGGUGUGAAUUGCAGAAUCCCGUGAACCAUCGAGUCUUUGAACGCAAGUUGCGCCCGAAGCCAUUAGGCCGAGGGCACGCCUGCCUGGGUGUCACACGUCGUUGCCCCCCCAUCUACUCCUUCGGGAUUGCGGGGGGCGGAUGAUGGCCUCUCGUGCGCCUCGUCGCGCGGUUGGCCUAAAUGCCAAGUCCUCGGCGACGCACGCCACGACAAUCGGUGGUGUCGAAACCUCGGUUGCCUGUCGUGUGCGGUCGUCGCGCAUCGAGGGCUCGAAAAAAUUGCCGGGCUUCGGCUCGACUUUCAACGCGACCCCAGGUCAGGCGGGGUUACCCGCUGAAUUUAAGCAUAUCAAUAAGCGGAGGA